rnacentral:ncRNA from 1 species
UAAAAGCUUGGUCCCGACUUUACUAUCGGCUUUAGCUCAAAUUAUACAUGCAAGUAUCCGCACCCCCGUGAGAAUGCCCUCAAUCCCCCGCCCGGGGAAGAGGAGCUGGCAUCAGGCACACCCUAAAACCCGAGCCCAAGACGCCUUGCUACGCCACACCCCCAAGGGAACUCAGCAGUAAUAAACAUUAAGCCAUUAGUGAAAACUCGACUUAAUUAGGGCUAUUAGGGUCGGUAAAACUCGUGCCAGCAACCGCGGUUACACGAGAGACCCUAGUCGAUAAAUACGGCGUAAAGAGUGGUUAGGGGUAAAAUAAAUAAAUAAAGUUAAACACCCUCAAAGCCGUUAUACGCAAUUUCGAGGGCAUGAAACCCUACUACGAAAGUAACUUUACCACUACCCUAACCCCACGAAAGCUAAAAAACAAACUGGGAUUAGAUACCCCACUAUGCUUAGCCUUAAACAUAGAUGUUUAUACUACAAAAAACAUCCGCCAGGGUACUACGAGCGCUAGCUUAAAACCCAAAGGACUUGACGGUGUCUCAGACCCACCUAGAGGAGCCUGUUCUAGAACCGAUAAUCCUCGUUAAACCUUACCACCCCUGGUUUUCCCCAGCCUAUAUACCGCCGUCGCAAGCUUACCCUGUGAAGGAUUAACAGUAAGCAAAAUGAGAUCAUCCUCAAAACGUCAGGUCGAGGUGUAGCUUACGGGGUGGAAAGAAAUGGGCUACAUUUUCUGUAUCAGAAUAUACGAACAGGGUUAUGAAACUAACCCUAGAAGGUGGAUUUAGUAGUAAAAAUCAAGCAGAGAGUCAUUUUGAACUAGGCUCUGAGACGCGCACACACCGCCCGUCGCCCUCCCCAACUUCAACCCAAACCUCAGUAAUUAACUAAACAAUUUGAAAAACGGGGAGAUAAGUCGUAACAUGGUAAGUGUACCGGAAGGUGUACUUGGAACAU